GAUGAACGCUGGCGGCGUGCCUAAUACAUGCAAGUCGAGCGAACAGACGAGGAGCUUGCUCCUCUGACGUUAGCGGCGGACGGGUGAGUAACACGUGGAUAACCUACCUAUAAGACUGGGAUAACUUCGGGAAACCGGAGCUAAUACCGGAUAAUAUAUUGGACCGCAUGGUUCAAUAGUGAAAGACGGUUUUGCUGUCACUUAUAGAUGGAUCCGCGCCGCAUUAGCUAGUUGGUAAGGUAACGGCUUACCAAGGCGACGAUGCGUAGCCGACCUGAGAGGGUGAUCGGCCACACUGGAACUGAGACACGGUCCAGACUCCUACGGGAGGCAGCGGUAGGGAAUCUUCCGCAAUGGGCGAAAGCCUGACGGAGCAACGCCGCGUGAGUGAUGAAGGUCUUCGGAUCGUAAAACUCUGUUAUUAGGGAAGAACAAAUGUGUAAGUAACUAUGCACGUCUUGACGGUACCUAAUCAGAAAGCCACGGCUAACUACGUG
rnacentral:rRNA from 1 species